rnacentral:rRNA from 1 species
UAACGCGAAGAACCUUACCAGGUCUUGACAUCCUCUGACAACCCUAGAGAUAGGGCUUUCCCCUUCGGGGGACAGAGUGACAGGUGGUGCAUGGUUGUCGUCAGCUCGUGUCGUGAGAUGUUGGGUUAAGUCCCGCAACGAGCGCAACCCUUGAUCUUAGUUGCCAGCAUUCAGUUGGGCACUCUAAGGUGACUGCCGGUGACAAACCGGAGGAAGGUGGGGAUGACGUCAAAUCAUCAUGCCCCUUAUGACCUGGGCUACACACGUGCUACAAUGGAUGGUACAAAGGGCUGCAAACCUGCGAAGGUAAGCGAAUCCCAUAAAGCCAUUCUCAGUUCGGAUUGCAGGCUGCAACUCGCCUGCAUGAAGCCGGAAUCGCUAGUAAUCGCGGAUCAGCAUGCCGCGGUGAAUACGUUCCCGGGUCUUGUACACACCGA